CGAUCUCCAGCUUUGUUGCAUCUCUAUUCUGCUCCUCGAGGUGCUCAACAGGAGAAGCACUCAAUAGGAGAAGCAGGAGCAGCGGAGCGUUCGCCUCGUUGCAGGGUGCGUGGACAAACAGAUGCUAGGGGCAUUGUUUCACACAACACCUACACCAAUGACCACUGGACAAGUGAAGCAAAGGUACUUGUGAACAACAUGAAAAACUUUCAGCCAUCCUUUGAUUACAUGGAAAUAUGCCUUUGAUGCAUCCGUGUUAUUAUUUACUGAC
rnacentral:rRNA from 1 species